AAGCUUGCUUCUCGCUGACGAGCGGCGGACGGGUGAGUAAUACUUAGGAAUCUACCUAGUAGUGGGGGAUAGCUCGGGGAAACUCGAAUUAAUACCGCAUACGACCUACGGGAGAAAGGGGGCAACUUGUUGCUCUCGCUAUUAGAUGAGCCUAAGUCGGAUUAGCUAGUUGGUGGGGUAAAGGCCUACCAAGGCGACGAUCUGUAGCUGGUCUGAGAGGAUGAUCAGCCACACCGGGACUGAGACACGGCCCGGACUCCUACGGGAGGCAGCAGUGGGGAAUAUUGGACAAUGGGGGCAACCCUGAUCCAGCCAUGCCGCGUGUGUGAAGAAGGCCUUUUGGUUGUAAAGCACUUUAAGCAGUGAAGAAGACUCCAUGGUUAAUACCCAUGGACGAUGACAUUAGCUGCAGAAUAAGCACCGGCUAACUCUGUGCCAGCAGCCGCGGUAAUACAGAGGGUGCAAGCGUUAAUCGGAAUUACUGGGCGUAAAGCGAGCGUAGGUGGCUUGAUAAGUCAGAUGUGAAAGCCCCGGGCUUAACCUGGGAACGGCAUCUGAUACUGUUAGGCUAGAGUAGGUGAGAGGAAGGUAGAAUUCCAGGUGUAGCGGUGAAAUGCGUAGAGAUCUGGAGGAAUACCGAUGGCGAAGGCAGCCUUCUGGCAUCAUACUGACACUGAGGUUCGAAAGCGUGGGUAGCAAACAGGAUUAGAUACCCUGGUAGUCCACGCCGUAAACGAUGUCUACUAGUCGUUGGGUCCCUUGAGGACUUAGUGACGCAGCUAACGCAAUAAGUAGACCGCCUGGGGAGUACGGCCGCA
rnacentral:rRNA from 2 species